rnacentral:pre_miRNA from 1 species
CAAAUACUCCCUUCGUCCAGAAAUACUUGUCAUCAAAAUGGAUAAAAGGAAAUAUAUCUAGACGUAUUUUAGUUUUAGAUACAUCUCUUUUUAUCCAUUUUGAUGACAAGUAUUUUCGGAUGGAGGGAGUAGAAA